rnacentral:ncRNA from 1 species
AAAAAGUUUUAUUAUGGCUUUGGAAUUGGCUGUGUAAUUUUUUCACAUGUAAAUUUUAGUGUUGGUUGAAUUUAGAUAAUUUAAUUUGUUUUUGCAGUGUUUAAUUUUAAGUAUUAAAUUUUUUUAGACUUAGGAAUUUAUUUUAAUGUAAACAAAAUUUGUGCCAGCAGUAGCGGUUAUACAAAUUACGUUAGUUAAUUUAGAAUAGUUUAAUUAAGUGUGAAUUUUGAAUUUGAAUUUAGAUUUUUUAGGUGAAAUUUUAAAUUUAAAUUAAAUUUAUUAUUUGUUGCUGAGGUUGAGAAAUUUCUUUUUUAAACUAGGAUUAGAUACCCUAUUAUUAGAAGAGUUAAUUUUUAAGCUAUAAUUAUUAAUAGUUAAGUUCUUUAAAAUUAAAGAUUUUGGCGGUGUUUUAGUCUUUUCAGAGGAACCUGUUUAUUGAUCGAUAAUCCACGAUAAAUCAUACUUUAGCUAUUAAUUUAUAUAUCGUUGUAUUAUAAAUAUUUUAUUAGGAUUUAAAUAUUUGGAAUUUUUUAUUAUAGAUUAAUUCAGAUCAAGGUGUAGUUUAUGUUAAAGUUUAAAUGGGUUACAUUAUAGUUAUAUGUGGUUUUAUUAUUUGAAAAUUAUUAGAUAAAUUGGAUUUGAAAGUAAUUGUUAUAUUUUUAUAUGGUGAUUAAGCUCUAAAAUAUGCACAUAUCGCCCGUCGCUUUCAUUAUAAAAUGAAAUAAGUCGUAACAAAGUAGGCUUAUUGGAAAAUGGGCCUGGAAUGAU